rnacentral:rRNA from 1 species
UACGGAAGGCAGCAGUGGGGAAUAUUGCACAAUGGGCGAAAGCCUGAUGCAGCUAUGCCGCGUGUAUGAAGAAGGCCUUAGGGUUGUAAAGUACUUUCAUCGGGGAGGAAAAACAAAACUAAUAAUUUUAUUUCUUGACGUUACCCGAAAAAGAAGCACCGGCUAACUCCGUGCCAGCAGCCGCGGUAAUACGGAGGGUGCUAGCGUUAAUCAGAAUUACUGGGCGUAAAGAGCACGUAGGUGGUUUUUUUAAGUCAGAUGUGAAAUCCCUGGGCUUAACCUGGAACUGCAUUUUGAAACUGGAAAUACUAGAGUAUCGUAGAGGGAGGUAGAAUUCUAGGUGUAGCGGUGAAAUGCGUAGAUAUCUGGAGGAAUACCUGUGGCGAAAGCGGCCUCCUAAACGAAUACUGACACUGAGGUGCGAAAGCGUGGGGAGGCAAACAGGGAUUAGAUACC